GGUUGGGCCCCUGGAGCUAGGGUUAGGGGACCCAGGGGCUGGACCCCUGGAGCUAGGGUUAGGGGACCCAGGGGAUGGACUGCUGGAGCUUGGGUUAGGG